rnacentral:rRNA from 1 species
CCUACGGGAGGCAGCAGUGGGGAAUAUUGCGCAAUGGGCGAAAGCCUGACGCAGCGACGCCGCGUGAGGGAUGAAGGUCUUCGGAUCGUAAACCUCUGUCAGCAGGGAAGAACGGUCACUGUGCUAAUCAGCAGUGAAUUGACGGUACCUGCAAAGGAAGCACCGGCUAACUCCGUGCCAGCAGCCGCGGUAAUACGGAGGGUGCGAGCGUUAAUCGGAAUUACUGGGCGUAAAGCGCUCGUAGGCGGUAUGUCAAGUCAAGGGUGAAAUCCCCGCGCUCAACGUGGGAACUGCCUUUGAAACUGGCAAACUGGAGUGUGUGAGAGGAUGGUGGAAUUCGAGGUGUAGGAGUGAAAUGCGUAGAUAUCUGGAGGAACAUCAGUGGCGAAGGCGACUAUCUGGCACAUAACUGACGCUGAGGAGCGAAAGCGUGGGUAGCAAACAGGAUUAGAUACCCGGGUAGUC